rnacentral:rRNA from 1 species
ACGAUGUCGAUUUGGAGGUUGUGCCCUUGAGGCGUGGCUUCCGGAGCUAACGCGUUAAAUCGACCGCCUGGGGAGUACGGCCGCAAGGUUAAAACUCAAAUGAAUUGACGGGGGCCCGCACAAGCGGUGGAGCAUGUGGUUUAAUUCGAUGCAACGCGAAGAACCUUACCUACUCUUGACAUCCAGAAAACUAUCCAGAGAUGCUUUGGUGCCUUCGGGAACUGUGAGACAGGUGCUGCAUGGCUGUCGUCAGCUCGUGUUGUGAAAUGUUGGGUUAAGUCCCGCAACGAGCGCAACCCUUAUCCUUUGUUGCCAGCGGUCCGGCCGGGAACUCAAAGGAGACUGCCAGUGAUAAACUGGAGGAAGGUGGGGAUGACGUCAAGUCAUCAUGGCCCUUACGACCAGGGCUACACACGUGCUACAAUGGCGCAUACAAAGAGAAGCGACCUCGCGAGAGCAAGCGGACCUCAUAAAGUGCGUCGUAGUCCGGAUUGGAGUCUGCAACUCGACUCCAUGAAGUCGGAAUCGCUAGUAAUCGUAGAUCAGAAUGCUACGGUGAAUACGUUCCCGGGCCUUGUACACACCGCCCGUCACACCAUGGGAGUGGGUUGCAAAAGAAGUAGGUAGCUUAACCUUCGGGAGGGC